CCUACGGGUGGCAGCAGUGGGGAAUAUUGCACAAUGGGGGAAACCCUGAUGCAGCGACGCCGCGUGAGUGAAGAAGUAAUUCGUUAUGUAAAGCUCUAUCAGCAGGGAAGAAAAUGACGGGACCUGAGUAAGAAGCCCCGGCUAACUACGUGCCAGCAGCCGCGGUAAUAAGUAGGGGGCAAGCGUUAUACGGAUUUACUGGGUGUAAAGGGAGCGUAGACGGCAGUGCAAGUCUGGAGUGAAAGGCGGGGGCUCAACCCCCGGACUGCUCUGGAAACUGUACGGCUGGAGUGCAGGAGAGGUAAGUGGAAUUCCUAGUGUAGCGGUGAAAUGCGUAGAUAUUAGGAGGAACACCAGUGGCGAAGGCGGCUUACUGGACUGUAACUGACGUUGAGGCUCGAAAGCGUGGGGAGCAAACAGGAUUAGAUACCCUGGUAGUC
rnacentral:rRNA from 1 species